rnacentral:rRNA from 1 species
AGAACGAACGCUGGCGGCAUGCCUAAUACAUGCAAGUCGAACGAAGGCUUCGGCCUUAGUGGCGCACGGGUGCGUAACGCGUGGGAAUCUGCCCCUUGGUUCGGAAUAACAGUUGGAAACGACUGCUAAUACCGGAUGAUGACGAAAGUCCAAAGAUUUAUCGGCCAAGGGAUGAGCCCGCGUAGGAUUAGCUAGUUGGUGAGGUAAAGGCUCA